UAUCUCUGUAGAGUCUGCAUAUCAAUAAGCGGAGGAAAAGAAACUAACAAGGAUUCCCUUAGUAACGGCGAGUGAAGCGGGAAGAGCUCAAAUUUGAAAUCUUCAAGGUUUUACCUUGACGAAUUGUAGUUUAAAGAAGUGUUUUCUGUUGAAGUUUUGGUAAAAGUUCUUUGGAAUAGGACAUCAUAGAGGGUGAGAAUCCCGUAUUUGACUAUUCUUUCUAGCUGUGUGAUACACUUUCAACGAGUCGGAUUGUUUGGGAAUGCAGUCCAAAAUGGGUGGUAGAUUUCAUCUAAAGCUAAAUACUGGCGAGAGACCGAUAGCGAACAAGUACCGUGAGGGAAAGAUGAAAAGAACUUUGAAAAGAGAGUUAAACAGUACGUGAAAUUGUCAAAGGGAAGCGUUUGACACCAGUGUUGUUUUCUCGAAAAUCAAUUAAAAAUGGUGGGAUUUUGUGUUGUAUUGACUUUAUCAGCUUUCUGCACUUUUUUCCUAUCUUUUUUAAUGCACUUUUCGUUUAACAAGUCAACAUCAAUUUCUUUUGCUGUAAAAGAGUCAUUGGAAGGUGGCUUUCUUUUCGGAGAAAGUGUUUAUAGCCUUGUGCCUCUGCAAUCGGAGAGAUUGAGGUCUGCAGCGUAGAUCCUUCGGGGUUAGAUACAUUUGUGCUAAGUUAUAGCUUUUCAUAGACAACUUGUUGACUAUGUUUAGUCUUGUAGCUUACUCGCUUAUGCUAUUUUACCUACGCUUAGGAUGUUGAUGUGAUACUGCGAGCA
rnacentral:rRNA from 1 species